GCUAUUUUGUAACACAUUUAGUCAGACAACAUGGAAACCGGAUGGCCUUCAGUGCUGUGGGAUCCCCAACAAGAAAUGUUAUCUGGUUAAACUGGAAAUGUGAAAGUCGGAAGAAUUCGGAAAAUGGGUACUUUGUUCGACAGGUCCUCUCAGCUUCAUGAGGAAAUGUGUGAUGAGUUUCCAGUAGGACACAUCCUGACAGUUCCAGGUCUGAUGUCAUGUUGGUAUCUUCAAAGGGGCCUUUUCUGUCUAAACAUGGUUCAUUUCAAAUUCACAGCGAGAACACUUCCAAAAACACCACAGGUCCCACCUAAUGACAGGCCUGUAUGUUUGGAUACAAUUAAGGCAUUUACUGAAUUCUUCUUCUUCUUGAGUAUUUUAUUUAUGCUUACUUUUUUGCGAUUUUCGGAACUUUUAUUUGUGAAUAUAGUACCUCAGUGCUCUGCUCAGUAUAAUUAUUAGGCAAGGUUGGCAGCUAGCCAUGGUAACCAGGACAACCCCUUUAUCAUGUCUAAAGCCCCACAGAGGUUACAAUGAGGGCAUCAUUGUGUUCAGUGAAUCAGUAACCCUUUGUUGUAUCUCAGUUUACAGGGAUCUGCUCAGAGGACCGUUCUGAAAUCAGGUUGUUUGUAAAUGGCCAGAUAACAAGUGGCAUUUGGUUGUUAUUGCCCUAAGCGUGAAACAAAUGUCUAACCAGGGCCAUAACUACUGAGGGGGAUGAGUCCCCUUCAAUAAUUUGAUAUAGUCAAACUAUAAGAAAUACAGGACUGUGAUUACUGUAUUGUAAAUGAUUUCACAGUUAGCCUUAGAUCAAGUAUUAAAUUAACACUAGCAACAUACCAUUUGGGUUUUUCUUGUUGUGUGGCCAUCUUACGCCAAUGUGACCUAAUUGAAUCUCUAAUUAUACCAAGUGUAUACACACACACACACACCACAAAUCUAAAAACAAA